ensembl:ncRNA asRNA:CR44224 antisense RNA:CR44224
AUUCCGUGUGGCUGCUGCCAAGCGAUUUUUAUGUUUUAUGAGCCAAUUCGGGCCGCUUCUGUUGAUGACGACGAAUAAUUCUCGGCGAACACGCAGUCACAGCGAUCAAUAAAGAAUAAUUCUGGAUUUCUGGACCGAUCGAACGCUUCCAAUUGGAAUCGAGCAGGAGAAAAAAAAAACAAGAACAAGAUCGAAAGCAGAAAUAUAAAUAUAACGAGAACUCGAUCGCAACCACUAUCUACCUCACUGUUUAAUGAAAACCGCAAAUUUCGCGUUUGCCGCACGUUGUAAACAUUUAGUUUUUGGGUUCUCCAGUCUUUGAUAUACGUGUAUAUAUUUAAGGUCGGUGCAAUAUAGUCCGGAAGAUCGGUGUGAGUGCCCACCUGGAUUCAGUUUCGUUUGCGGCGGAUUAAUAACAACAAUCGGCCGUCGCACAACCGCACUCGACCGCAUUCAAUGAAAGUUGCAGAGGGACUGUGGUCAGACAUUUCGAAUACGAAAAUGUUCGCCAUACGAAGCUGAAAAUUGCCUAAAUUGGCACUCCACUAAUGGCUUGGAACUUGGCUAGUGCGCACUUCAACCAGAGGACUUACCUAAUGCACUUUCCACACUGCCUUAUGCUUGUGACAGUGGAAAAGUUACAGAGUAUGGCGUACAAAGUAUCGUUUUCCCUUGUUUUAAGAUUAAAGAUUGUUUUUUAGGAUUAACAAUAAAG